CGGUCUUCUCUUGUUUUUGCGAGUGCUAAUGAUUUCGGCUAUAAAGAUAAUAUCCCAGGCAGCAAAAGUAGAGUUAAGCCAGUUAUAGAAACUUUAUUGAAUAAAUUGUCCCAUUAUCAUCCCAACAUAAAGGAAACCCAUUGAAGAAACAAGAGUCUGAUUCAACUUUAGUCGAGCUUGAACAUGAGAAAAUUUUCGACCAACCGAAAAAAGAUCAUAGUUCCACCAUAGAAAUCCAUGAUCGAAGCCAUACAAUAUUUUUAGAUGCCUGUACAAUAAGUGAGAAGAAGUGAACAACAUGUGCGCGAAGCAAAUAUGUAAUAAAUAAUAAUAAUCAUGCAAAUAAAAU